AUUACAACACAAUCAUGCCAAUGCACAUGAUGUCAUGUCAAGUUUUAGUUCUAGUAACACCAGGGUGCAGACCACCGGAGCCCCCUCCUCUUCCUUGUGCAUGGUGACUUCCUCUCCCUCUCCAAGCUGUCGCCGCCCACCGCCUUAGUUCGCGGACAACGGCCUCAUCUUCCUCGUGUAGACCACCAGAGCCCCCUCCUCUUCCUCGUGCAGAGCACUGGAUCCCCAUCUUCCUCACGCAGAGCACGAACAUAGGAGAUUUGCAAAGCCUCAUCAAGACGGCAAGAGAUCUACAAAGUCCAAAUCAGUAACCAUCUGCUGAAGGUGAUACAAUGUAACAUGUGCAAGCAUAAGAAGUUUUUUCAGAAGAUCAAAGGGAUGGAGCUCUGUGGUGCUAAAUAGAUGUUUAAAGGAAAGUCAUGAUGAGCAAAGCCAUUGUUGUCAUGAAUCAAAAAAUCCUACCAUGUCCAUGGCAAAAAGUUGUUUCUGCAUACAUAUUUUAAGGGUUGUGUUUUAUUGAAUCUGUUUGAUUUUAUUGAUUUUUAA